AGAACGAAUUUCUUCGUUAUCAGCUUUUUAUGCUGACUUUCAUUCGGAGGAGUAUUACUACUUUAGAGGGAGAGAUUAUUGAGUCGUAUCAAUUAGCAGGCAUAAAAAAAGCGCCCUGAGGCGCUUUCUUGU
rnacentral:sRNA from 1 species